GCAUGCCUAAUACAUGCAAGUCGAACGAGAUCUUCGGAUCUAGUGGCGCACGGGUGCGUAACGCGUGGGAAUCUGCCCUUGGGUUCGGAAUAACAGCGGGAAACUGCUGCUAAUACCGGAUGAUGACGAAAGUCCAAAGAUUUAUCGCCCAAGGAUGAGCCCGCGUAGGAUUAGGUAGUUGGUGGGGUAAAGGCCUACCAAGCCUACGAUCCUUAGCUGGUCUGAGAGGAUGAUCAGCCACACUGGGACUGAGACACGGCCCAGACUCCUACGGGAGGCAGCAGUAGGGAAUAUUGGACAAUGGGGGCAACCCUGAUCCAGCAAUGCCGCGUGAGUGAUGAAGGCCUUAGGGUUGUAAAGCUCUUUUACCCGGGAUGAUAAUGACAGUACCGGGAGAAUAAGCCCCGGCUAACUCCGUGCCAGCAGCCGCGGUAAUACGGAGGGGGCUAGCGUUGUUUGGAAUUACUGGGCGUAAAGCGCACGUAGGCGGCGAUUUAAGUCAGAGGUGAAGCCCGGGGCUCAACCCCGGAACUGCCUUUGAGACUGGAUUGCUAGAAUCUUGGAGAGGCGGGUGGAAUUCCGAGUGUAGAGGUGAAAUUCGUAGAUAUUCGGAAGAACACCAGUGGCGAAGGCGGCCCGCUGGACAAGUAUUGACGCUGAGGUGCGAAAGCGUGGGGAGC
rnacentral:rRNA from 1 species